UACGUAGGGUGCGAGCGUUGUCCGGAAUUAUUGGGCGUAAAGGGCUCGUAGGCGGUUUGUCGCGUCGGGAGUGAAAUCCACUGGCUUAACUGGUGGCUUGCUUUCGAUACGGGCAGACUGGAGGUAUGCAGGGGAGAACGGAAUUCCUGGUGUAGCGGUGAAAUGCGCAGAUAUCAGGAGGAACACCGGUGGCGAAGGCGGUUCUCUGGGCAUGUCCUGACGCUGAGGAGCGAAAGUGUGGGUAGCGAACAGG
rnacentral:rRNA from 1 species